rnacentral:SRP_RNA from 4 species
GUGAAGGCUAGGCUGGGGAGCCAGUCCCUCCUUGUAACUGCAAGCGGGCUUUACGGCAGGGCUGAAGCCUGUGGAGAGGGCGCUUUCAUCUGAUUGCAGUCCUGUGCUGUACAAUGAAGCCUUGUCCUGAGGGAUCAGGUCUUAGGAGAAAUAUGUCAGGCGGGGAACCGAGCAGCAUUAACCUCAAGCUCUGGUGCUCUCAGGGUAGCAGGGCUAAGGAAGGCAUAGGGGAGCUGCUUUCAGUUGAGGCGUUCCAUCUACAGGCGCGCCUUCUC